UACGAAGGGGGCGAGCGUUGUUCGGAUUUACUGGGCGUAAAGCGCACGUAGGCGGAUCGUUAAGUCGGGGGUGAAAUCCUGGAGCUCAACUCCAGAACUGCCUUCGAUACUGGCGAUCUUGAGUCCGGAAGAGGUGAGUGGAACUCCUAGUGUAGAGGUGGAAUUCGUAGAUAUUAGGAAGAACACCAGUGGCGAAGGCGGCUCACUGGUCCGGUACUGACGCUGAGGUGCGAAAGCGUGGGGAGCAAACAGG
rnacentral:rRNA from 1 species